UAGAUAGCCCUAUACAUAGGGGAGGUCAACAAAAUAGUCAUUACAUACCAGUUAGAUGGAAAAGACCAGCAGAUAGAUAUGUAAAAUGUAAUGUUGAUGGCUCUUUUAUAGACAGAGAAAACUCAUACUCAAGCAGGGUGGGUAGUACAUGAUAUGAAUGGUACUUAUCAAGGUGCAAGCAAACGGUUGGAAAAAAAGUAAAAAAUGCAUUAAAAUGUGAAUUUCAAGAUAUUAUUAUGGCAAUUCAACACUGCUGGAACAGAGGAUACAGAAAAAAAUUGAACAAGAUUGUCAGAAAAAUAUCCUUAACGUGUCAUCCAUUUUGAUUAGGCCUGGGCAUUGUAACCUGGA
rnacentral:lncRNA from 1 species